rnacentral:rRNA from 1 species
CGUACACUCCUGCGGGAGGCAGCAGUGGGGAAUAUUGCACAAUGGGCGCAAGCCUGAUGCAGCCAUGCCGCGUGUAUGAAGAAGGCCUUCGGGUUGUAAAGUACUUUCAGCGGGGAGGAAGGCGAUAAGGUUAAUAACCUUGUUGAUUGACGUUACCCGCAGAAGAAGCACCGGCUAACUCCGUGCCAGCAGCCGCGGUAAUACGGAGGGUGCAAGCGUUAAUCGGAAUUACUGGGCGUAAAGCGCACGCAGGCGGUCUGUCAAGUCGGAUGUGAAAUCCCCGGGCUCAACCUGGGAACUGCAUUCGAAACUGGCAGGCUAGAGUCUUGUAGAGGGGGGUAGAAUUCCAGGUGUAGCGGUGAAAUGCGUAGAGAUCUGGAGGAAUACCGGUGGCGAAGGCGGCCCCCUGGACAAAGACUGACGCUCAGGUGCGAAAGCGUGGGGAGCAAACAGGAUUAGAUACCCGUGUAGUCCC